GAUGAACGCUAGCUACAGGCUUAACACAUGCAAGUCGAGCGACCGGCGCACGUGUGUGUAACACGUAUCCAACCUGCCCUUUACUCGGGGAUAGCCUUUCGAAAGAAAGAUUAAUACCCUAUAUAAAGGAUGGGGAUGCGUUCCAUUAGGUUGUUGGUGAGGUAACGGCCCACCAAGCAUUGGAUGGAGAGGGGUUCUGUGAGGAAGGACACCGACAUUGGAACUGAGACCAGGUCCAAACUCGUACGGGAGGCAGCAGAGAGGAAGAAAGGUCAAUGAGCGUUAGCCUGAACCAGCCAAGUAGCGUGAAGGAUGAAGGCUUAUGGGGCGUAAACUUCUUGUAUAAAAGAACCGGUAUUAGAUGAAUAAGGAUCGGCUAACUCCGUGCCAGCAGCCGCGGUAAUAC
rnacentral:rRNA from 1 species